rnacentral:tRNA from 1 species
AGGGCUAUAGCUCAGUUGGUAGAGCACCUCGUUUACACACCGAGAAGGUCUACGGUUCGA